CGAGCGGCGCGCGGGGGCACCCUGGCGGCGAGCGGCGGACGGGUGAGGAAUGCAUCGGAAUCUACCUUGUUGUGGGGGAUAACGUAGGGAAACUUACGCUAAUACCGCAUACGACCUACGGGUGAAAGAGGGGGACCUUCGGGCCUCUCGCGAUAAGAUGAGCCGAUGCCGGAUUAGCUAGUUGGUGGGGUAAAGGCCCACCAAGGCGACGAUCCGUAGCUGGUCUGAGAGGAUGAUCAGCCACACUGGAACUGAGACACGGUCCAGACUCCUACGGGAGGCAGCAGUGGGGAAUAUUGGACAAUGGGCGCAAGCCUGAUCCAGCCAUGCCGCGUGUGUGAAGAAGGCCUUCGGGUUGUAAAGCACUUUUGUUGGGGAAGAAACCGACCGGAUUAAUACUUCGGUUGAAUGACGGUACCCAAAGAAUAAGCACCGGCUAACUUCGUGCCAGCAGCCGCGGUAAUACGAAGGGUGCAAGCGUUACUCGGAAUUACUGGGCGUAAAGCGUGCGUAGGCGGUUAGUUAAGUCUGUCGUGAAAGCCCCGGGCUCAACCUGGGAAUGGCGAUGGAUACUGGCUAGCUAGAGUGUGUCAGAGGAUGGUGGAAUUCCCGGUGUAGCGGUGAAAUGCGUAGAGAUCGGGAGGAACACCAGUGGCGAAGGCGGCCAUCUGGGACAACACUGACGCUGAGGCACGAAAGCG
rnacentral:rRNA from 1 species